rnacentral:rRNA from 1 species
UACGGAGGAUUCAAGCGUUAUCCGGAUUUAUUGGGUUUAAAGGGUGCGUAGGCGGUUCGAUAAGUUAGAGGUGAAAUCCCGGGGCUCAACUCCGGCACUGCCUCUGAUACUGUCGGGCUAGAGUUUAGUUGCGGUAGGCGGAAUGUAUGGUGUAGCGGUGAAAUGCAUAGAGAUCAUACAGAACACCGAUUGCGAAGGCAGCUUACCAAACUACGACUGACGUUGAGGCACGAAAGCGUGGGGAGCAAA